UACGUAGGCAGCAAGCGUUGUUCGGAGUUACUGGGCGUAAAGGGUGUGUAGGCGGUUCCCUAAGUUUGGUGUGAAAUCUCCCGGCUCAACCGGGAGGGUGCGCCGAAAACUGGAGGACUGGAGUGCGGGAGAGGAGAGUGGAAUUCCCGGUGUAGUGGUGAAAUGCGUAGAUAUCGGGAGGAACACCAGUGGCGAAGGCGACUUCCUGGCCUGUUCUUGACGCUGAGGCGCGAAAGCUAGGGUAGCAAACGGG
rnacentral:rRNA from 1 species